ensembl:processed_transcript Gm12503 predicted gene 12503
ACACACACACACACACCCCGGGUCCACAGACUGAACCUAUGCAGAGUGUAUUCCCAGGCUCGGCGCUUGAGUUCCCUUCCUUUCCACACAGACAGACGGAUGAUGGUGAUCCCGGCCUUCCUAUCUGCCUGUACUAAACAUUAUCUAUAUUUAUAUUUGGAUAACAGUGUUUCAACAUCGUUGGCCUUCUCCCUCCUGCUUACUCGAUGCCUCAAAAGCCCGUGGAAGGACGGAGUUCGCGGCAGGCGGAGGGUUAAGAGCCGAGCCAGCAGCUGCUUAAGGGGAGGGUCUGAAAACAGGAGAUCUGAAGUUCCGGUUCCACAUCCUUCUUAGAGGACACAAAGCCUUUUGUUUCUCAUCUCUAUUGCCCUCAAGAUUUGAUCAAGAGCCAACAGAGAGUAGGCUGAAGCUGAGGAGAGAGGAAUGCCUAAGAGCGGUGCUGUUGCUGCCCCAGCCCCCAACAUACAACGCAUGUGCGCCAUCCUCUGCCGCCUGGACCCGCGAGGGUAAGGGAGCGCUGGUCCCUGUGGUAUUUUCCAACCUCAGACCCUUCCAUCUCCUGCAGAGAGCUACCCUUCAAAUGGUAAAGAUGAGUUUUGCCAGUCUUCAUCUGAUGAUAUGACCGCACCAGGAUUUCAUCUCUGUGUAAGCCAAGUUUUAGCAUCCCACGCCCACUUGAACAUCACAGUUUCCCUGCUUCGUUAAGAAGGAUCUUGUGGUGAGCGACAAGAUGCCUGUGUGGGUAAGAGUGCUUGCUGCACCGGGAUUAGGUCCUGAGUUCAAAUCCCCAGCACCUAUGUAAAAAAGCUAAGUGUUCCUGCAUCCUGUUGGCUAGUACUGGGAUGAGUGAAGCCUGGAGUGUUGUUGGGACUUGCUGGCCUCUGACCUAGCUCCAGAGUCAGGGAGAAACCCUCCCUCAAGGAAAUAAAGCCAAGAGUGUCAGAAGAGAACACUCCUAUCCUCCUCUAGCUUCAAAGGACAAAAGCAACCCCAUAGACACAUGUGCAUCCACCAUACACAUGCCACAAACACACACAGCAGAAAAGAAGGCUUUUAUGAACUUGGUAUGGUGACCCUUGCAUAUAAUACCAGGAUUUCGAGAGGCAGAGGAAGAGCAGUGGUUCUGGGUCAUCCUCAGCUGCAUAGCAAGCUCGAGGCUAGCCUGGUCGGUUGUCCAUGGGAUUCUGUACUCAAUAACAAAAGGGCUAUUGUGGAGUCUUGCCACGUUGACUCUUAGGACAACCCCAAAUUUUCCAGUGGGUCCUGAGUGAGCCAACAGGAAGGGGUGUGGCUGGGGCAGAGCAGAGGCUUCGAGCUGGCUUGCUUGGCUUAGCCCUGAGUAUUUAGAAUGUAAGACUUAAGCUCAAGGGCUCUGUUGCCAGAUUUCCUGCACCGGGUACUUUUGCCAAGUAACCCCAAGAUGACCUGAAGGAGGAGCUGUAGGGAGAUAGCUGCAGUGUGAAGGGGCCUCAAGCUGACGUUUACACAGGGGCAUGGUGGGGAGGACGUAUGGGCUUCAUGUUUCCCUAGAUCUAGUGUUGUAAAAGAACAAAAAAAGCCAUUUACUUGCUGAAGAGCAAGCAUGUUGCCGAUGGAGGAGUUCAAAAUGUUACACCCGCUCUCUACAUUACCCCAUUACCCAGUGGCAUUUCAAAGCGGCCACCAUAGCAGAAUAGUCACGUGAUGAUGACAGGUGAACAGGCAUUCAUCCCGUUAAACCACACACACACACACACACACACACACACACACACACACACACACACAUGCACGCACGCACGCACUCGCACACACAAUCACACACACACACCCGUGGGCAGGACUCCUAAACUCACUUUCCACCAGAGGUAAGACAAGCUCACUCAGGUUAAGGAAUAGAUUUCUUCACAUUCCCUGCCUUCUCACUAGAUUUUGUGAGUUUAAAUUCCUUUGUUUUUUCACUUGAGUGUGUCACACAUUUGGCAGGUGGGUGGGGGGAGCCAAGGGUAACAAGACUUUCUCCUGUAUAGAGAAGUGUCCAUAGCAGGGGAGAGGACUUGGAGGCUGUGGGCCUAGUCAGAGGUCUAUGUGGGGAUGAAGUCUUAGGAAGAGGGGAGUGGGAAGCUGGUUCUAUGAUAGUGUUAGCCCAUUACUAAAGUGCUGUCGCAUCGACUUCUCUGCUUCUGAAAGUAAAAUGGAAAAUGUAAGAGAUCUGAAAGCUGAAAGGGGUGGCAUGUGCUUACAUCCAACUUCCCAGCACUUGGGAGGCAGAGACAAGUGGAUUGCCAAGUUGGAGGCUAGCCUGGUCUAUAGUCUCCUCCCUGCAGGGUUUAGAGGCAGUCCCCACUGCCCUGCUGCUCUCCUUGGGAGAGGCCCUGAGGAUCUUGCAGCAUUUGAAAUCUCUUGAACUUAGUAAGCUCCUACAGCAUCCAAGUCCUGGAGAUUUCUGUAGCUGCCUGCCUUAUGAGUUUAUCCAAGGAUACAAUGUUUCCCCGCCCCAGGUAACAGCUUCAGAGCACUGGGUCAGCGGCGGCACUUCCAGCCAGUCAGCCUCCGCUCUCUAUCAGCCUGCUGUUUCAUAGGGGGCGGGGAUGAACAUUAAUGACAGCAGGUCUGACUUCAUACACCUUAGCAUAUCCUGCAAAUGUAGCCCAGCCCCUUCUUUGGGAGCUUAGUAUCAUCUCACACCUGAGGUCUCGGCUAAAAUGGACUCCUACAAGAAAGUCCAGCCGCAUACAAACAAGCCAUUCCUUGUCUUGGAAAGUCACUACUUCAGCUGCUGACUCUUCAAAACAGCCAUCACUUUGACCUCCCAGGAUCAUCUGACUUAUCCCUGAACUGAGUCCCUAGCCCCAUUUAUCAAACUGGGAGAAGCUUGCCCCUGGACAGUUCAAUGUAUGUAUGACAGUCACGCUAUGAGAGUGUCACAUUUGCUUUAUGGUUUUGGAGAAAGGGAUAAUGUAGCUAUUGUUAAUCACUGAGUUCAAGAGGAUAGACCAGGAGCCAACAAACUCAGGAUCUUUGAUGCCAGACCCCCAGGCUAUAGGCUCUUGAAUAUCAUGUUUCUGGUUGGGUUCUUGUCUUGCCCUCGAUGGGUUACUAGGCCAAGGCUUCAAACAUUUACUGGAAACGUCUUCAAAUGCAAUUAAAAAAAAAGUUUUAC